rnacentral:misc_RNA from 1 species
GAUGAAGAACGCAGCGAAAUGCGAUACGUAAUGUGAAUUGCAGAAUUCAGUGAAUCAUCGAGUCUUUGAACGCACAUUGCGCCCCCUGGUAUUCCGGGGGGCAUGCCUGUCCGAGCGUCAUUGCUGCCCUCAAGCACGGCUUGUGUGUUGGGCCCCGUCCUCCGAUCCCGGGGGACGGGCCCGAAAGGUAGCGGCGGCACCGCGUCCGGUCCUCGAGCGUAUGGGGCUUUGUCACCCGCUCUGUAGGCCCGGCCGGCGCUUGCCGAUCAACCCAAAUUUUUAUCCAGGUUGACCUCGGAUCAGGUAGGGAUACCCGCUGAACUUAAGCAUAUCAAUAAGCGGAGGA